rnacentral:ncRNA from 2 species
AUAAUCACUAAGGUUAAAAAUCAUAUAAACUCGUAAUACGGACGAGAGUUUCUACCGGCUGCCUUAAACAGUAAGACUAUGAUUCCCAACAAGGAAUCA